rnacentral:lncRNA from 1 species
CAAUUCCAAUUGAAAUGAAUCAAUAUUUAGCGCACAUUGCGGGCCGCCGACUCAUCAUCAUUCAGAACGCCUCUUAUGCAUACCUAAGCAGAUAUAUGUAUGAAAAGUGCGACCUAAUUUUCCCCUUUGCUCCGCCUUCAAUAUUCACUGUGAAUGAUUUCGGACUGUGUGGCUCGGCCAACUUACCCUUUUCAAUCUCAUCCAACCAUCGUCUGUGUCCCCAUCCCCGAUCUGCACACCGCACCGCACCGCUGACUAUUUUUUUUUUCACUUUCGUUCGCUUUUGUUGUAACGGGCGGGGGCAUGCAACACUAUAGCGCUGCCAGCAGUCGACUGCGCAGCAUCUAGCGAGAUGUAAACGAAACGGUAAAUGUUUGCUGGCAAACCCGAGCAGAGCACAGUUGCAUUUUGGCGCUCGUCCCAAGCGAUUCAAGCCCCAUCCGCCACAUCCGACACUCUCGCUGCCAUCGCCGUCGCCGCGCACGCGCUCAACGAAAACGAAAACGAAAAUCUGCGAGCCAGCAGCCAGCAGCAGCGACACAGAAGCAACAGUAAACGCGAAUAACCGUUAAUAUCGAACAGCCGCAGUUAGCUUGGGCCCCUUACAUAAUCGAGAGAGGAGAGGUGGGGGGAGAUUAGCAUCUGGUCUCAGCUGGCACUUCCACUUCAAUUCCCACUUCCCCUUCUACUUCUGCGCGGAAUUUUUGGCGAUUUUGACGACGCCCAGCUGGAGCUCUUGCGAACUGCUAAUUAAUGCUCAGUCGUGAAGUGAAAAGCCAAAAAGUGAAGCUGGGAAACCUCU